AUUGAACGCUAGCGGGAUGCCUUAUACAUGCAAGUCGAACGGAGUGGCGAACGGGUGAGUAAUGUAUCGGAACGUGCCCAUUAGCGGGCGAUAACUACGCGAAAGCGUAGCUAAUACCGCAUACUAUUGGAGCGGCCGCUAUCGGAUUAGCUAGUUGGUGGGGUAACGGCUCACCAAGGCGACGAUGCGUAGCAGGUUUGAGAGGACGACCAGCGACACUGAGACUGAGACACGGCCCAGACUCCUACGGGAGGCAGCAGGGGGGAAUUUUGGGCAAUGGGGGAAACCCUGAUCCAGCAAUCCCGCGUGUGCGAUGAAGGCCUUCGGAUUGUAAAGUACUUUCAGCGAGGAGGCGUUACUCGCAGAAGAAGCACCGGCUAACUCCGUGCCAGCAGCCGCGGUAAUAC
rnacentral:rRNA from 1 species